UACGUAGGGAGCGAGCGUUGUCCGGAAUUACUGGGUGUAAAGGGGGCGUAGGCGGGAUCGCAAGUCAGAUGUGAAAACUAUGGGCUUAACCCAUAAACUGCAUUUGAAACUGUGGUUCUUGAGUGAAGUAGAGGUAAGCGGAAUUCCUAGUGUAGCGGUGAAAUGCGUAGAUAUUAGGAGGAACAUCAGUGGCGAAGGCGGCUUACUGGGCUUUAACUGACGCUGAGGCUCGAAAGCGUGGGGAGCAAACAGG
rnacentral:rRNA from 1 species